rnacentral:pre_miRNA from 1 species
AUCUGUACUCUUUGGUUACAGUUGUUCAACCAGUUACUAAUCUAACUAAUUGUAACCAGUUGAACAACUGAACCCAAAGGGUGCAAAGUGAAAACAUU